AACGGCGGGGAAAAUGGUGUGCAAUUGUGACUCGUUAUUGUUUUUACACUGUUAUUUUAAUGUUACUUUAAAAGUUUUCGGUCCGGAGAAAAACCUUGUUUGUUGUUGUUGCUGCUACUGCUGUUGGUUUUUGGUAGAGACGUGAAAGCUAACUCUUAAGUAGCUCGACAGUUAUUUUGGACGAAUGACUGAAACCAGAAA
rnacentral:lncRNA from 1 species